CUCCAGAAUCUGCGCCACGCUAGUCACUGCUCAUACAGUAAAGGGCUGUUAUCUGGCACACUAAGUUUACAUUUUUUAAGAAUGUAGAGUGAGGUCAGAGGCACCGGCACUGGCACCAAACACUGUCUUGAGGAGAACGUGUUAUAAGAACAUAAGAAAGGAGGAACACUGCAAUAGGCCUACUGGCCCAUACUUGGCAGGUUCUUGUUAAACUCAAACCAUCUAAAAAUUAUUUGCUCAACUCAUUAUCAAUGUUACCUAAGGAAUAAGUUUUGUUAACCCUAUUAAAUCAGGUGCAACUCCCACUCAAAUCCAACCCCUCUCACUCAUAAGAACUUACACUAGGGAAGAUAGUGCCGAGCCCAGUGUAUCUCUCGAGAGGUGUGCUUCAGGACGCUACACACACUUGAGCCCAGUGUAUCUCUCGAGAGGUGUGCUUCAGGACACUACACACACUUGAGGCCAGUGUAUCUCUCGAGAGGUGUGCUUCAGGACGCUACACACACUUGUGGCCAAGUCCUCAACGGAACAAGAAACACUCGCGUCCCUCAGUAAGGUCACUUGCACACCCACACAAGAUGCUCUAGGCCACAUAGUGACCUCCAGUCACUACAAUUCCGAGGCUCAGGAGUCCUUUCACACCAGUGCUGAUGACUUCUUACGCCCCAGCGGUGCUACCAACCAGGUAUAGCAACAGCACGAGCAACAACUGCAACAACACGAGCAACAACUGCAACAACACGAGCAACAACUGCAACAACACGAGCAACAACAGCAGCCUUACCACCUGGACGGAAGUGUAGUGAAAGACAAUAUGGCCGCCACGCGACACUUAUCAUUAUUAGAAAGAAAGGAAAAGCAGUGGGAAGAAGAGAGAGCCUUUCUGAACGGUGGCUGUGGCUUCUGGGGUCGUUCAGAGCCCACGGGCCCACAACGACCCACACCGCCCACUGACAAGCCUCCC